rnacentral:rRNA from 1 species
GAUGAACGCUGGCGGCGUGCCUAAUACAUGCAAGUCGAGCGAACAGACGAGGAGCUUGCUCCUCUGACGUUAGCGGCGGACGGGUGAGUAACACGUGGAUAACCUACCUAUAAGACUGGGAUAACUUCGGGAAACCGGAGCUAAUACCGGAUAAUAUAUUGAACCGCAUGGUUCAAUAGUGAAAGACGGUUUUGCUGUCACUUAUAGAUGGAUCCGCGCCGCAUUAGCUAGUUGGUAAGGUAACGGCUUACCAAGGCGACGAGUCGUAGCCGACCUGAGAGGGUGAUCGGCCACACUGGAACUGAGACACGGUCCAGACUCCUACGGGAGGCAGCAGUAGGGAAUCUUCCGCAAUGGGCGAAAGCCUGACGGAGCAACGCCGCGUGAGUGAUGAAGGUCUUCGGAUCGUAAAACUCUGUUAUUAGGGAAGAACAGAUGUGUAAGUAACUAUGCACGUCUUGACGGUACCUAAUCAGAAAGCCACGGCUAACUACGUG